GGGUCUAUGAUGACAAACCUACGUCCUGAAGAGAGGUGAUGAUAUAAAAAUCAAUGCUCGGGUUGCGGUUGCUGAGGCCC